GUGCAUGUUCCUGGUAUUGAUUGCAUUUUUUACUUGUACAAUGCAACCAUAGACAAUCAAACACAUCAAACAGAUGGUUCUUGCUGACAGAGUCUACAUAGUUACCACAUUUUCUGUAUGAUGGUGCCAUACAUU
ensembl:scaRNA